rnacentral:rRNA from 1 species
GAUGAACGCUGGCGGCGUGCCUAACACAUGCAAGUCGAGCGAAGCACUUAGCUUUGAUUCUUCGGAUGAAGAGCUUUGUGACUGAGCGGCGGACGGGUGAGUAACGCGUGGGUAACCUGCCUCAUACAGGGGGAUAACAGUUAGAAAUGACUGCUAAUACCGCAUAAGACCACAGCACCGCAUGGUGCAGGGGUAAAAACUCCGGUGGUAUGAGAUGGACCCGCGUCUGAUUAGCUAGUUGGUAAGGUAACGGCUUACCAAGGCGACGAUCAGUAGCCGACCUGAGAGGGUGACCGGCCACAUUGGGACUGAGACACGGCCCAAACUCCUACGGGAGGCAGCAGUGGGGAAUAUUGCACAAUGGGGGAAACCCUGAUGCAGCGACGCCGCGUGAGCGAAGAAGUAUUUCGGUAUGUAAAGCUCUAUCAGCAGGGAAGAAACUGACGGUACCUGACUAAGAAGCACCGGCUAAAUACGUGCCAGCAGCCGCGGUAAUACGUAUGGUGCAAGUGUUAUCCGGAUUUACUGGGUGUAAAGGGAGCGUAGACGGAGUGGCAAGUCUGGAGUGAAAACCCAGGGCUCAACCCUGGGACUGCUUUGGAAACUGUCAAUCUAGAGUGCUGGAGAGGUAAGUGGAAUUCCCAGUGUAGCGGUGAAAUGCGUAGAUAUUAGGAGGAACACCAGUGGCGAAGGCGGCUUACUGGACAG